rnacentral:rRNA from 1 species
UUGGCAUUGGGCGAAAGCCUGAUCAGCAAUGCUGCGUGUGUGAAGAAGGCCUUCGGGUUGUAAAGCACUUUUGUCCGGAAAGAAAUGGCUCUGGUUAAUACCUGGGGUCGAUGACGGUACCGGAAGAAUAAGGACCGGCUAACUACGUGCCAGCAGCCGCGGUAAUACGUAGGGUCCAAGCGUUAAUCGGAAUUACUGGGCGUAAAGCGUGCGCAGGCGGUUGUGCAAGACCGAUGUGAAAUCCCCGAGCUUAACUUGGGAAUUGCAUUGGUGACUGCACGGCUAGAGUGUGUCAGAGGGGGGUAGAAUUCCACGUGUAGCAGUGAAAUGCGUAGAGAUGUGGAGGAAUACCGAUGGCGAAGGCAGCCCCCUGGGAUAACACUGACGCUCAUGCACGAAAGCGUGGGGAG